rnacentral:rRNA from 1 species
GAUGAACGCUGGCGGCGUGCCUAAUACAUGCAAGUCGAGCGAACAGACGAGGAGCUUGCUCCUCUGACGUUAGCGGCGGACGGGUGAGUAACACGUGGAUAACCUACCUAUAAGACUGGGAUAACUUCGGGAAACCGGAGCUAAUACCGGAUAAUAUAUUGAACCGCAUGGUUCAAUAGUGAAAGACGGUUUUGCUGUCACUUAUAGAUGGAUCCGCGCCGCAUUAGCUAGUUGGUAAGGUAACGGCUUACCAAGGCAACGAUGCGUAGCCGACCUGAGAGAUUGAUCGGCCACACUGGAACUGAGACACGGUCCAGACUCCUACGGGAGGCAGCAGUAGGGAAUCUUCCGCAAUGGGCGAAAGCCUGACGGAGCAACGCCGCGUGAGUGAUGAAGGUCUUCGGAUCGUAAAACUCUGUUAUUAGGGAAGAACAAAUGUGUAAGUAACUAUGCACGUCUUGACGGUACCUAAUCAGAAAGCCACGGCUAACUACGUG